rnacentral:rRNA from 1 species
CAAUAGCGUAUAUUAAAGUUGUUGCGGUAAAAAAGCUCGUAGUUGGAUUUCUGUUGAGGACGACCGGUCCGUACCAUGUACGCGCAUCUGGCUCGGCCUCGGCAUCCUCUCGAUAGACGUUUCUGCGCUUGAUUGCGUGGAGCGGAUUUCGGGACUUUUACUUUGAGGAAAUUAGAGUGUUCACGGCAGGCAACCGCCCGAAUACAUUAGCAUGGAAUAAUACUAUAGGAUCUCGAUUCUAUUUUGUUGGUUUCUAGGAUUGGGAUAAUGAUUAAUAGGGACAAUUGGGGCAUUCGUAUCAACACGUCAGAGGUGGAAUUCUUGGAUUGUGUUGCGACGAACUACUGCGAAAGCAUUUGCCAAGGAUGUUUUCAUUGAUCAAGAACGAAAGUAAGGGGAUCGAAGAUGAUCAGAUACC